rnacentral:rRNA from 1 species
AUGGUUUCCCUCUGGCACACCUCCGUCAUUGUCCUUGUGCUCCUAUUCCUCGGAGGAUCUGAUGCCAACCCAGCUGCCCGUCGACACGGUCAGCUGGAUGUAAACCACAAGAAGAAGCCACUACAGACAUCCAGACCUUACAACAUUGCCCACAGGGGUUCCAAUGGCGAAAUACCCGAAGAGACAGCUGCGGCAUAUUUGAGGGCAAUCGAGGAAGGUGCAGACUUCAUAGAGACUGAUAUACUUGCAUCAAAGGACGGACAUCUGAUAUGUUUCCAUGAUGUAAUCCUGGAUGCCACGACGGACAUCGUGAACCGUACCGAGUUUGCUGGCAGGAAGAGAACCUAUGAUGUCCAGGGAUUUAAGUUGACUGGGUGGUUUAUCGUGGAUUUUACUUUAAGAGAACUGAAAUCACUGAGGGUGAAACAGCGCUACAAUUUCAGGGAUCAACAGUAUAAUUGGAAGUACAAUAUUCUUACAUUUGAUGAGUUUAUUUUGAUUGCACUUCAUGCUGAUAGGGUGGUCGGAAUAUACCCAGAGAUCAAGAAUCCUAUUUUCAUCAACCAGCAUGUCAAGUGGUCAGGUGGCAAGAAGUUUGAGGACAAGUUUGUCGGGACGCUUCUCAAGCAUGGCUACAAAGGCAAAUAUAUGUCUAAAGAUUGGCUCAAGAAGCCACUAUUCAUCCAAUCCUUUGCUCCAACUUCACUAAUUUACAUCUCAAACAUGACAAAUGCUCCAAAACUGCUUCUAAUAUACGAUACCACAGUUCCAACUCAAGAUACCAACCAGUCAUACUAUGAGAUAACUUCGAACGGCUAUCUCGCGUUCAUAAGGAAGUAUGUAAUUGGGAUUGGGCCAUGGAAGGAUACAAUUAUCCCCCCAAAGAAUAACCAUCUAGGCCCUGCAACCAAUCUUGUGGCACGGGCACACACUCUGAAUCUUCAGGUGCAUCCGUACACAUUCAGAAAUGAGAACUCAUUCCUGCACUUCGACUUCCAUCAAGACCCUUAUGCUGAAUAUGAGUACUGGCUCAGAGAAAUCGGAGUCGACGCGCUGUUCACCGAUUUCACGGGCAGCUUGCACAAGUACCAGGAGUGGACAGCUCCACACGAAAAGAAGGAAAAGAAGUGCAGAGGACCUCCUGCAUGA